UACAGAGGGGGCAAGCGUUGUUCGGAAUUACUGGGCGUAAAGGGCGCGUAGGCGGCCUGCUAAGUCGAACGUGAAAUCCCCGGGCUCAACCCGGGAACUGCGUCCGAUACUGGCAGGCUUGAAUCCGGGAGAGGGGUGCGGAAUUCCAGGUGUAGCGGUGAAAUGCGUAGAUAUCUGGAGGAACACCGGUGGCGAAGGCGGCAUUCUGGACCGAUAUUGACGCUGAGGAGCGAAAGCCAGGGGAGCAAACGGG
rnacentral:rRNA from 1 species